AACGAACGCUGGCGGCAUGCCUAACACAUGCAAGUCGAACGAGACCUUCGGGUCUAGUGGCGCACGGGUGCGUAACGCGUGGGAAUCUGCCCUUGGGUGCGGAAUAACAGUUAGAAAUGACUGCUAAUACCGCAUAAUGACUCCGGUCCAAAGAUUUAUCGCCCAAGGAUGAGCCCGCGUCGGAUUAGCUAGUUGGUGAGGUAAAAGCUCGCCAAGGCGACGAUCCGUAGCUGGUCUGAGAGGAUGAUCAGCCACACUGGGACUGAGACACGGCCCAGACUCCUACGGGAGGCAGCAGUGGGGAAUAUUGGAAAAUGGGCGAAAGCCUGAUCCAGCAAUGCCGCGUGAGUGAUGAAGGCCUUAGGGUUGUAAAGCUCUUUUACCCGGGAUGAUAAUGACAGUACCGGGAGAAUAAGCCCCGGCUAACUCCGUGCCAGCCGCCGCGGUAACAC
rnacentral:rRNA from 1 species